rnacentral:SRP_RNA from 1 species
GCCAGGCAUGGUGGUGUGUGCCUGUAAUCCCAGCUACUUGGGAGGCCGAGGCGGGAGAAUUGCUUGAACCCAGGAGGUGGAGGUUGCAGUGAGCCAAGAUCACGCCACUGCACUCUAGCCUGGGUGACAGAGCAAGACUCUGUCUCAA